AAUGAACGCUGGCGGCGCGCCUAAUACAUGCAAGUCGAGCGAGAAGACGUAGCAAUACGUUUGUAAAGCGGCGAACGGGUGAGGAAUACAUGGGUAACCUACCCUCGAGUGGGGAAGUAACUAGCCGAAAGGUUAGCUAAUACCGCGUACGCUUCUUGGACUUCGGUUCAGGAGGAAAGCGAUACCGUGGGUAUCGCGCUCUUGGAUGGGCUCAUGUCCUAUCAGCUUGUUGGUGAGGUAACGGCUCACCAAGGCUUCGACGGGUAGCUGGUCUGAGAGGACGAUCAGCCACACUGGCACUGCGACACGGGCCAGACUCCUACGGGAGGCAGCAGUAAGGAAUAUUGCGCAAUGGGCGAAAGCCUGACGCAGCGACGCCGCGUGGGGGGA
rnacentral:rRNA from 1 species